rnacentral:lncRNA from 1 species
ACUGCUGUAGACCACUGAGGCAGGCCAGAGAGCAGACAGGUGCUAAGCACCAGUGACAUUCUGAGGUCAUGGCACGAAUCACAGUGGGGCCUUGCCCGGGUCAGCAGCGCCCAGAGUCAGGGUCCUCCGCUGCCUGAGGCGUCAACAUGCCUGCCUGCAAUGUGUUUGUGCACGUGCGUGCACAUGUGUAUGUGGGGCCUAGGGGAUGCCGAAUUCCAGGGUCCAGAAAGAGCUUGGGAUAAAAAGAAACUUCAAGGGGACGGCUUUGACCUGGGCUGAGUCUACCUGUGCCAUCCAACUGGAGUCUCAAGUCCUGAGGCAGGACGUCCAGAUGCCCCAGUGCAGGGUCCUCCUGAUCAACACCUGCUCCCCUGUACUCAUUAGCAACCUCACCCACCCUACUCUCAAAGCACACUUGGCUCUCGUAUCCAGGAGCUCUGCAUCUGUAGAUUCAGCAACAGCAGAUGGAAAAUAUUCAGAAAAUAAAUUGGACGGUUAUGUUUCUAUUGAACAUGUGCAGACUUUGUUCUUGUCAUCAUUCCCUAAAGAAUACAGUAUCACGACCAUUUAUGUAGCAUCUGCAUUGUAUUACACAUC